AGACGGAGGGAGCAAGCGUUGCUCGGAAUCACUGGGCGUAAAGGGCGUGUAGGCGGGACAGCAAGUCGGGUGUGAAAGCCCUGGGCUCAACCCAGGAAGGGCAUUCGAUACUACUGUUCUUGAGUAUGACAGAGGAAAGCGGAAUUCCCGGUGUAGCGGUGAAAUGCGUAGAUAUCGGGAAGAACACCUGUGGCGAAGGCGGCUUUCUGGGUCACAACUGACGCUGAGGCGCGAAAGCUAGGGGAGCGAACGGGAUUAGAAACCCCAGUAGUCC
rnacentral:rRNA from 1 species